GACGAAUGCUGGCUGCGUGCUUAACACAUGCAAGUCGAACGGUGAAAGGGAGCUUGCUCCCUGGAUCAGUGGCGAACGGGUGAGUAACACGUGGGCAACCUGCCCCUCACUCUGGGAUAACUCCGGGAAACCGGGGCUAAUACCGGAUACGACCUGGUGCGACAUCGCACCGGGUGGGAAGACGUUCGGGGAGGGAUGGGCCCGCGGCCUAUCAGCUUGUUGGUGGGGUAACGGCCCACCAAGGCGACGACGGGUAGCCGGCCUGAGAGGGCGACCGGCCACACUGGGACUGAGACACGGCCCAGACUCCUACGGGAGGCAGCAGUGGGGAAUAUUGCGCAAUGAGCGAAAGCCUGACGCAGCGACGCAGCGUGAGGGACGAAGGCCUUCGGGUUGUAAACCUCUUUCAGCGGGGACGAAGCGAAAGUGACGGUACCCGCAGAAGAAGCACCGGCUAACUACGUGCCAGCAGCCGCAGUAACAC
rnacentral:rRNA from 1 species